GGAACUUCUCUGGUGGCCCAGUGGCUAAGACUCUGCGCUCCCGAUACAGGGGGCCAGAGUUUGAUCCUUUGUCAGGGAAUUAGACCCCAAAUGCCGCAACUGAGACCUGGCACAGCCAAAUAAAUAAAUAAAAAUAAA